rnacentral:lncRNA from 1 species
GCACAUACUGUCGGCACACUCACAACAAAACAAACUCAAUCUAGAACAUAACCUAAAGCUAAAGUUCCAGAUCCUAACUAGACACUCGACUCUACAACACAAACCAAUAGUACCAGUAGUCCGGCCUAUAUGGCCUAAGACCCUUACUACUAACUAGUAAACAAUAAUAUCAAUACUAAACAACACAAUCAAACCGUUACCCAGAU